rnacentral:lncRNA from 1 species
UCGCGGAUCCUGAAAGUAUGGCGGCGUCGAAGGUGAAGCAGGACAUGCCCCCACCAGGGGGCUACGGCCCCAUCGACUACAAGCGGAACCUGCCCCGCCGGGGACUGUCGGGUCAGUGUCUAGGUGUCGACCUGUUCGUCGCAGACCAGGCUUCUUUUAUGCGGUUAGGCGAGAGAGGGGAGCCUGCGGGCUUCAGAGCUCACGAUGUGAGGGGAGGCAGAGUUUGAGUCUUGGUUCUCUAGUGCAGCUUCCCAGAAGCCUGACUGUUCACGUCCCCUGUUUUCUAAUUGGCUUCCACGGGCUGGGAAACUAAGCCUGCGAGAAGCGCUAACCCGGAAUUAGGCGUUUUUGUUUGUUUUAGGCUGGUCUCAAACUCUGUAGCAGAGGAUGACCUAGAACUCCUGAUCUCUUGCCUUCACUUUCGAAAGCUACGCUGAUAGGUAUGCACCGUUAUACUUUAAAAAAAAAUUUUUUUUUUUUUAGAUUUUGCAGAUAGGGACUUACUAUAUAGCCCAGGCUGGCCUCAAACUCGUGGCAAUCCCGCAUCUGCCAAUGGAUUGCUGGGAUGACAGACAGACCCACCCGAGGCAGGAUGUGUGUUGAUUAUAACGUAGCAUAGAAGCCAGGCUAGUCUUAAAUUCUAGCCUCCCUAGGGCUGGUUCCUCUUCGGACAUUUUCUGCCCGCCCCUACAGAGUUUUAUGGAGCCCAGGCCAGCCUUCACCCCAGCUCUCUGCCUUCAUAGUGCCAGGAUGACAGGCAUGUGCCCACCAUACUAGGCUGUGUUUUUAAGUUUUCUUAAAGGUAUUUUAAGUAACAUUUACAAUUUUAUUAUCGACUUCAAUAGGAAAAGAAUAUGAAGAGAGUUAAGGUCCCCACUCUCAAUGCUCAGAGUUACAGAAAUACAGUAGUUAGAGACUGGGGCCCAAUUAGAGUGCCUGCCUAGCAUUUCAAAACCCUAGGUCAAACCCCCAGCACUGCAUAAACAGGACUUGGUGAUGCACACCCAUCAUCUCAGCAUUUUGGAUGCUGAAACAGUGGGGAUCGAUGGUUUAGGAUCAUCCUGGGCUACGUGGAUCAACCUGAACUACAUGAUGCCAUCUCACCCUAGGAA